CUGGGAGGACCAUCUCCUAAGGCUAAAUACUCUCUAGUGACCGAUAGUGAACCAGUACCGUGAGGGAAAGGUGAAAAGCACCCCGGAAGGGGAGUGAAAUAGAACCUGAAACCGUGUGCUUACAAGUAGUCAGAGCCCGUUAAUGGGUGAUGGCGUGCCUUUUGUAGAAUGAACCGGCGAGUUACGAUUUGAUGCAAGGUUAAGCAGUAAAUGUGGAGCCGUAGCGAAAGCGAGUCUGAAUAGGGCGUUUAGUAUUUGGUCGUAGACCCGAAACCAGGUGAUCUACCCUUGGUCAGGUUGAAGUUCAGGUAACACUGAAUGGAGGACCGAACCGACUUACGUUGAAAAGUGAGCGGAUGAACUGAGGGUAGCGGAGAAAUUCCAAUCGAACCUGGAGAUAGCUGGUUCUCUCCGAAAUAGCUUUAGGGCUAGCCUCAAGUGAUGAUUAUUGGAGGUAGAGCACUGUUUGGACGAGGGGCCCCUCUCGGGUUACCGAAUUCAGACAAACUCCGAAUGCCAAUUAAUUUAACUUGGGAGUCAGAACAUGGGUGAUAAGGUCCGUGUUCGAAAGGGAAACAGCCCAGACCACCAGCUAAGGUCCCAAAAUAUAUGUUAAGUGGAAAAGGAUGUGGCGUUGCCCAGACAACUAGGAUGUUGGCUUAGAAGCAGCCAUCAUUUAAAGAGUGCGUAAUAGCUCACUAGUCGAGUGACACUGCGCCGAAAAUGUACCGGGGCUAAACAUAUUACCGAAGCUGUGGAUUGUC
rnacentral:rRNA from 1 species